AGCAGUAGCCACGGUAAUACGUAGGGUGCAAGCGUUAAUCGGAAUUACUGGGCGUAAAGCGUGCGCAGGCGGUUAUAUAAGACAGAUGUGAAAUCCCCGGGCUCAACCUGGGAACUGCAUUUGUGACUGUAUAGCUAGAGUACGGCAGAGGGGGAUGGAAUUCCGCGUGUAGCAGUGAAAUGCGUAGAUAUGCGGAGGAACACCGAUGGCGAAGGCAAUCCCCUGGGCCUGUACUGACGCUCAUGCACGAAAGCGUGGGGAGCAAACAGGAUUAGAUACCCCGGUAGUCCCUGUCUCUUAUAC
rnacentral:rRNA from 1 species